rnacentral:rRNA from 1 species
CCUACGGGGGGCAGCAGUAGGGAAUCUUUCACAAUGGGCGAAAGCCUGAUGGAGCAACGCCGCGUGCAGGAUGAAGGCCUUCGGGUUGUAAACUGCUUUUAUAAGCGAGAAAUAUGAUGGUAACUUAUGAAUAAGGAUCGGCUAAAUACGUGCCAGCAGCCGCGGUCAUACGUAGGAUCCGAGCAUUAUCCGGAGUGACUGGGUGUAAAGAGUUGCGUAGGUGGCAUAAUAAGUAGCUAGUGAAAACUGGUGGCUCAACCAUUCAGACUAUUAGCUAAACUGUUAAGCUCGAGACCGUUAGGGGUAACUGGAAUUUCUAGUGUAGGAGUGAAAUCCGUAGAUAUUAGAAGGAACACCAAUAGCGUAGGCAGGUUGCUGGGACGGUUCUGACACUAAGGCACGAAGGCGUAGGGAGCAAACGGGAUUAGAUACCCUAGUAGUC